GUGAAUGAACUUGUCCAGGUGGAAAUGUCCAAAGCCAGACUUUAGAGUGUAAUGUAUACGGCAAGUUCCAUCCGCCACCCAUACGUUUAGAUUUAAACUCUGACGAUGUGAUGUGCUAGCUACCAACCAUGUGACCUAACUUUAAAGAAAAAAAACAGAAGAUGAGGGACCCCAAUUUGGUCAUUGUUUGAAGAGGGUAUCUGAAUUUUUAUGUUAUUUGUAAUAUAGAUUGUUUAUAGUGUAAAUUUGGAUACAUACAAUACCCACAUAUGUGGAAUAAAAUAUUCUGCUUUAUUUUUGAGAGAACUCGGGCGAGCGCAACCACUUGAUUGUAGCUUCAUAGUAAGUUCGGUCAGCAUUUUCGCACGAGAGCUCAGUGAAUG
rnacentral:lncRNA from 1 species